CGAGCGACAGACGAGGAGCUUGCUCCUCUGACGUUAGCGGCGGACGGGUGAGUAACACGUGGAUAACCUACCUAUAAGACUGGGAUAACUUCGGGAAACCGGAGCUAAUACCGGAUAAUAUAUUGAACCGCAUGGUUCAAUAGUGAAAGACGGUUUUGCUGUCACUUAUAGAUGGAUCCGCGCCGCAUUAGCUAGUUGGUAAGGUAACGGCUUACCAAGGCAACGAUGCGUAGCCGACCUGAGAGGGUGAUCGGCCACACUGGAACUGAGACACGGUCCAGACUCCUACGGGAGGCAGCAGUAGGGAAUCUUCCGCAAUGGGCGAAAGCCUGACGGAGCAACGCCGCGUGAGUGAUGAAGGUCUUCGGAUCGUAAAACUCUGUUAUUAGGGAAGAACAAAUGUGUAAGUAACUAUGCACGUCUUGACGGUACCUAAUCAGAAAGCCACGGCUAACUACGUGCCAGCAGCCGCGGUAAUACGUAGGUGGCAAGCGUUAUCCGGAAUUAUUGGGCGUAAAGCGCGCGUAGGCGGUUUUUUAAGUCUGAUGUGAAAGCCCACGGCUCAACCGUGGAGGGUCAUUGGAAACUGGAAAACUUGAGUGCAGAAGAGGAAAGUGGAAUUCCAUGUGUAGCGGUGAAAUGCGCAGAGAUAUGGAGGAACACCAGUGGCGAAGGCGACUUUCUGGUCUGUAACUGACGCUGAUGUGCGAAGCGUGGGGAUCAAACAGGAUUAGAUACCCUGGUAGUCCA
rnacentral:rRNA from 1 species